GUGAUCCAGGAGAGCGUGGAGCAAGGUGGUCUUUCUGUCUAGUAUAUGGCUUCCCUCGCUGAGUGGCGCUGCCUCUGCCCUUGGCCUUGCUGAGAUUUUACAGCCCUCACUCAUUUGGGUCAGGUAGAGCCCCCUCAGAGCCAGCAGAGGGAGGAAGCCAGCCCUGGUUCUGUGCGUGCUGGAGGGCUUUCUGCUUGGUCAUAAGCAAGAAUCCAGUAAAUAAAUAGUUCGGUUCCCGCCGAAAUUGCCUAUGCUGGAAUUUGUGCCUUGAAAAGAAACAUGAAUAAUGACUAGGACAGAGCACUUCUUUAUUUGAACCUGGAUAAUUUUAACGGCGAUAGCAUAAAUGUGAGAAAGCCCCAGCAAAGUGUAGUCUCCGUGUUAUAAAUUCCUUUUCUCCCUAGCGUCUCGGGCUUAUCUGGAGCCUCUCUUGGCUGUACUCUCUUCUUUCAUUUCUGUCUUCUUUAUUCACUGUGUUCCUUCUUCUCUCAGAUUUUACUAGGUCAGCAGCUGCAGCUGAAAUGAGCCAAGAAUGCUUGCUCUGGGUGGCAAAGAAUCACCGCAGGCUGGGAGCGCCGUCUCUUUACCGUCGUGGGCCACUUUCUCAGAGCGCACUGAGUUCACACAGAACCUACUCUGCCACCGCUUGUUUUAUUUUUAAAGUAAAUUCCUUUAUAUGCAGAUUUAAGGUGUACAUAUACCCCAGGUUACCUGCUGCUGAGAUUCUGCCUCAAGUCACUUGCCAGCCCACUGUUUGA
rnacentral:lncRNA from 13 species